rnacentral:rRNA from 1 species
UACGAAGGGGGCUAGCGUUGCUCGGAAUCACUGGGCGUAAAGGGUGCGUAGGCCGCACGGUAAGUCAGAGGUGAAAUCCCGGAGCUCAACUCCGGAAUUGCCUCCGAUACUGCCGUGCUUGAGGACUGGAGAGGAGAUUGGAAUUCACAGUGGAGCAGUGAAAUGCGUAGAUAUUGUGAGGAACACUAGUGGCGAAGGCGAAUCUCUGGACAGUUCCUGACGCUGAGGCACGAAGGCCAGGGGAGCAAACGGG